GUGAGCUUACACAAAUUGUAUCAGAUGUGAUACAUGAUCCAACUCUUCCCAGAACUGAAGAUCACGUUUGCCCACGUUGUAAUCACAAGGAAUCUGUAUUUUUCCAAGCUCAGAGUAGAAGAGCUGAGGAUGAAAUGAGACUGUACUAUGUGUGUACAAAUCCUAACUGCACCCAUAGGUGGACUGAAUAGAAAAGUUGUAAUUCAUGGAAGAAUAAAAAAAGGUGUUUAUUUAUUAAGGCAUAAUUAUAUUAAUUUUUAUAUUCAACAAAAUGUUUUGAAUUUUGCUAAAGGUUCUUGUAUAUAUGCUAUUAAAAUAUGAUUAUGCAA